rnacentral:lncRNA from 1 species
GAGAAGAUGCCACCUCAUUCCAGGGAGCUGCAUGGGGACUAAAGGAAAAAUCUUGACACUCAAACCCAAUUUUCUGUUGUUACAGGGCCAAGGAGCUCUGGGCCUGAGAGGGGAAGAGUCUGGUCAAGUAGUAAUGGACCCAGCACUGGGGGCUGAAUGCCCUGGACAAAUUCACCCUGUUCUCUUCUGCUAGAGCUGGCUUCAGGACAGUGAGAUGUGAGAAGGAAGGCCUCUGGGGAGAUAUGGUGGGGGAUCCCCUUCCCUUCUUGUUUCCAGAACAUUUUUGGGUUCGUUUGUACCUCUUGUGCCUGUGGCGGCAUCUGGCAGAUGUGGGGAAGGCUAAGAGAAUCUGGAAAGCUGACCCAGAGCCUGACACCAGGCUGAGAGCUGCCUGCCUCUGGACUCUUUCUUAUGUGCUUUGACAAUGCCUGUUGGUGAAUCCAGUUUUAGUUGGGUAUCUGGUACAGCCUAGAC